ACGAACGCUGGCGGCGUGCCUAAUCCCUGCAAGUUGAGCGCUGAAGGUUGGUACUUGUACCAACUGGAUGAGCAGCGAACGGGUGAGUAACGCGUGGGGAAUCUGCCUUUGAGCGGGGGACAACAUUUGGAAACGAAUGCUAAUACCGCAUAAAAACUUUAAACACAAGUUUUAAGUUUGAAAGAUGCAAUUGCAUCACUCAAAGAUGAUCCCGCGUUGUAUUAGCUAGUUGGUGAGGUAAAGGCUCACCAAGGCGAUGAUACAUAGCCGACCUGAGAGGGUGAUCGGCCACAUUGGGACGGAGACACGGCCCAAACUCCUACGGGAGGCAGCAGGAGGGAAUCUUCGGCAAUGGACGAAAGUCUGACCGAGCAACGCCGCGGGAGUGAAGAAGGUUGUCGGAUCGUAAAACUCUGUUGGUAGAGAAGAACGUUGGUGAGAGUGGAAAGCUCAUCAAGUGACGGUAACUACCCAGAAAGGGACGGCUAACUACGUG
rnacentral:rRNA from 1 species